ACUUUCAAAUUUUGCAUAGUAAAAAUUUUCUUACUUUUAAUUGUUGAUUUUUCGGUUAGAAACUGACGUAAACAGUUCUCGCAUGAUGCUUAGUUAAUAUUUUUCUUUCAUCUCUUAUGUAAAAUUAUUUUCUCUACACGUGAAAAAUUAGUUUGUUUACAGAGAGAAAAAUGAUUCAAUUUAUACAUGGCUUGAGAGAGAAAAGAGAAAUACUGACUAAGUUCCAUGCUGGAACUGUCCAGAUCAGCGCCUAAUUGAAAAACUAGUAAUUUGAGGUUGGAUAGAUUUUACUAUGCAAAAUUUGAAAAUUUAGGGGAUUUUAUGUUACAUUUUAAAGUUAA
rnacentral:misc_RNA from 1 species